rfam:Ciona savignyi cont_62618, whole genome shotgun sequence.
GUCGUCGUGGCCGAGUGGUUAAGGCGACAGACUAGAAAUCUGUUGGGCUCUGCCCGCACUGGUUCGAAUCCUGUCGGCGACG